AUACUUACCUGGCAGGGGAGAUACCAUGAUCACAAAGGUGAUUUUCCCAGGGCGAGGCUUAUCCAUUGCACUGAGGAUACAAACUAAUGGAAGAACAUUCCAUGCUCAUGGGUUGGAAGAAUCAAUAUCGUGAAAAUGGCCAUACUGCCC
rnacentral:snRNA from 1 species